rnacentral:rRNA from 1 species
CGAACACUGGCGGCAUGGAUUAGGCAUGCAAGUCGAACGAGAAAGCUCCCUUCGGGGAGUGAGUACAGUGGCGAACGGGUGAGUAACGCGUGGGAAACCUGCCCUUCUGCGGGGGAUAACAGUUCUAACGAGCUGCUAAUACCGCAUAAGACCUUUGAUCCGCAUGUUUCGAAGGUGAAAGAUGGCCUCUCUUUGAAGCUGUCACGGAAGGAUGGUCCCGCGUCCCAUUAGCUUGUUGGUGGGGUAAUGGCCUACCAAGGCGACGAUGGGUAGCCGGCCUGAGAGGGUGUCCGGCCACACUGGGACUGAGAUACGGCCCAGACUCCUACGGGAGGCAGCAGUCGAGAAGCUUCGGCAAUGGGCGAAAGCCUGACCGAGCGAUGCCGCGUGAGCGAAGAAGGCCCUAUGGGUUGUAAAGCUCUGUCAGAUUGGGAAGAAAGCUUCGGGGUUAAUACCCCCGAAGUGUGACGGUACCAUCAGAGGAAGCACCGGCUAACUCC